rnacentral:lncRNA from 1 species
CUCAUUAUCUCUUGCCUGCUGUCAUGUAAGACGUGCCUUUCCCUUUUCCAUCAUGAUGUGAGGCCCUCCAGCCAUGUGUAACUCAGGCAGCAGCCAAAACAUACCACACAUCUACAGUGAGACGCUUACCACAACAAUUCUGUGAAAAAGGUGUGGAUGUUCCUAUUUCACAGAAAAGGAAAUAAAAGCUCAGAGGAACUAAAGAAUUUUCUACACGUCACCUGUUGGAAAGAUAUAUAAUAAUUCAAGUGCAAAUCCUGUGUCAACUUGUGGAAGACAAAAGCAUAUAAGACAUGGCUGUUGACCUAGUAAAGCUCACGGUAUCAUGGUAUACAAACAGGAGUAGAAAUGGCUGUAAUUCAAAGCCUUGGCUUACAGCAAAGAUGAAAGUCAGUUAAAAGGAAUAAAUCAUGCACCAAAACUUAAUGUUAAGUGUAUUAUUUAGAUUCCCUUAAAUAUUUCGUCUUUGGUAAAAUUUGCAGUUUCUACUGUUUCAUUCUUUUAAGUUUUAAACAAAAACUACAAACGGUCACAUAGAAUGACAGAAUUGACAUAACCCAGAUUUAAUUUCUUUUGUUUAUAUUCAUUGUGUUAUUAUUUAUUAUUUAUUUUGAAUCUACUUUUUAAUAUGUAGUAUCACAGGGGUUUGAGACAGGAACUGCAGAGGUUGGUUGAGCCCUUCUCAACCAUUGAAAAUUUACUAUUGCAGAAGAUGCAUGACUCAGAGUCUGCAUGUGUUGGAGAAGCCAGGAGGGAACUAUUGUAUAAUUAGUAUUUGUAGUAACAUCUUUGUUGAGUACAAUGCUUAUUAAAUACUAAGCAAAAAUCAUGUUGUAAGUCAAAGCUCAUGUAUUAAUAUAAUUAAUAGUUACCACAGCAUUUUUUUACAACUUAGAGGGGAAAAUGCCCCAUGUCCUCUUACUGGCAGAAAAGGUCACCUCUAACCACUAAGUCGGUUGGAGAGUUAUAUUCUCUUACUGCCAACACUGGGAAUGUGGAGUGCUCCAAUUUCCCACACUUGGUAUGCCACUCAAUCUACUUAUGCUGAUAACUAUCUAUGUAUUGUUGUGAAUUGGAUUUAUAGACUAGACUGCUGUUAUAUAAACUGUAAUGAUGUCCCAAAAGACAAGAUUAUUUUAGUGUAGUGCAUAGGAUCAGACAAGAAUGCAGCUAUAAUAACGCCAGAAGAACACAAGUUUAGCAAAUUGAACUCAAGGAACCCCUAG